UACGAACCGUCCUAACGUUAUUCGGAAUCACUGGGCUUAAAGGGUGCGUAGGCGGCCCGAUAAGUUGGGUGUGAAAUCCCUCGGCUCAACCGAGGAAUAGCGCUCAAAACUGUCGGGCUCGAGGAAGAUAGAGGUAAGCGGAACUUAGGGUGGAGCGGUGAAAUGCGUUGAUAUCCUAAGGAACACCGGUGGCGAAAGCGGCUUACUGGGUCUUUACUGACGCUGAGGCACGAAAGCUAGGGUAGCGAACGGG
rnacentral:rRNA from 1 species